rnacentral:rRNA from 1 species
GAUGAACGCUGGCGGCGUGCCUAAUACAUGCAAGUCGAGCGAACAGACGAGGAGCUUGCUCCUUUGACGUUUGCCGCGCACGUGUGUGUCACACGUGGAUCCCCUCCCUAUAAGACUGGGAUAUCUUCGGGAAACCGGCGCUAAUACCGGAUAAUAUAUUGAACCGCAUGGUUCAAUAGUGAAAGUCGGUUUUGCUGUCACUAAUAGCUGGUUCCGCGCCGCAUUGCUAGUUGGUAAGGUAACGGCUUACCAAGGCCACGAUGUGUAGCCGACCUGAGAGGGUGAUCGGCCACACUGGAACUGAGACGGGGUCCAGACUCCUACGGGAGGCAGCAGUAGGGAAUCUUCCGCAAUGGGCGAAAGCCUGACGGAGCAACGCCGCGUGAGUGAUGAAGGUCUUCGGAUCGUAAAACUCUGUUAUUAGGGAAGAACAAAUGUGGAAGUAACUAUGCACGUCUUGACGGUACCUAGUCAGAAAGCCACGGCUAACUACGUG